UACAGAGGUCCCAAGCGUUGUUCGGAUUCACUGGGCGUAAAGGGUGCGUAGGCGGUCGGGUAAGUCUGAUGUGAAAUCUCACAGCUUAACUGUGAAACUGCAUUGGAUACUAUCCGGCUCGAGGAAUGGAGGGGAGACUGGAAUACUUGGUGUAGCAGUGGAAUGCGUAGAUAUCAAGUGGAACACCAGUGGCGAAGGCGAGUCUCUGGACAUUUCCUGACGCUGAGGCACGAAAGCCAGGGGAGCAAACGGG
rnacentral:rRNA from 1 species